CUCAAAACACAACUUCAAGUUGCGUUUCAGCGGAAAACCACGACUUCAAGUUGCUUUUUAUCUGAAACCACCACUUUAAGUUGCGUUUUUGUAAACACGACAAAAAGUUGUUUUUUGAAGUAAUAUUUUGGGUAUUUUUUCAGAAAGUGACAAUAGAGGGCUUUUGCUGCUGAAUAGUGACAUUUGUGGUCGACACCCCAUCGAGUCUCAGUCCACCGCCUCUAUUUCAUGUCACUCGAUACUAUUUUCUCCCUUCCCUCUCGAGUUCAUCUCUUUCUUACAUGCAAGGGUCAAUUCGUUUCUAAUGAUGAUCUAAACUCAUGAUUAUGUUAUAUCUCACCCUGUGUGCGUUUGUCGUGUGCUUUUGUUCAACGAUGUGUGUGUGUAUGUAUACAUGACGGUACUGAAUAAUGGUGAAAUUCUUCCGGUCAUUGCUUCAAAUUUUGGGGAAAUCUUGCUCUAAGUCGAGAUGGCGGAAUUCUGCGGUUAAACGUUGGGUUUGGCUCUUUUGCCAAACAACGCCUAAAGAUAUUAAAUACAUUAUCUAAUAUAUUUGUGUUGAAUCCUUCAUUGGUAUCAGAGCUUUGGUGGGUUCUAUAUGGAAUUUGUUACCUUGGAGGCGGCGUUUAUUCCAUGUGUUAUAAUAAAUCGGAGUGUUGUCUACUUUGGCUUCGGUUCAGUUUAACAAUUUUUGGUUUUAUCCCAGACUUGAUACAUUUGUGUUGCAUGCAGUUUGUGUCUUGAGGUUUGACGUGUCUCUUUAGCCUAUUGCUUAUAUCCUCUUCGUUUUUUAUAUUAUUCAUUCAUAUCUUGUAUUA